rnacentral:rRNA from 1 species
AUUGAACGCUGGCGGCAGGCCUAACACAUGCAAGUAGAGCGGAGCGGCGGACGGGAGAGUAAUGCCGAGGAAUCGGCCUGGGAGUGGGGGAUAACGUAUGGAAACGGGCGUUCAUACCGCAUUGUACCAGAUGAGCCUAGGUCGGAUUAGCUAGGUGGUGGGGUAAUGGCCGACCAAGGCGACGAUCCGUAACGGGUCUGAGAGGAGGAUGAGUCACACUGGAACUGAGACACGGGCCAGACCCCUACGGGAGGCAGCAGUGGGGAAUAUUGGACAAUGGGCGAAAGCCUGAUCCAGCCAUGCCGCGUGUGUGAAGAAGGUCUUCGGAUUGUAAAGCACUUUAAGUUGGGAGGCGUUACCAACCGAAUAAGCACCGUCUUACUACGUGCCAGCAGCCGCGGUAAUAC